rnacentral:rRNA from 1 species
UACGUAGGCACCAAGCGUUGUUCGGAUUUACUGGGCGUAAAGGGCGCGUAGGCGGCAAUUCAAGUCAUCUGUGAAAUCUCCGGGCUUAACUCGGAACGGUCAGAUGAUACUGCUUUGCUAGAGUGCGGAAGGGGCAAUCGGAAUUCUUGGUGUAGCGGUGAAAUGCGUAGAUAUCAAGAGGAACACCUGAGGUGAAGACGGGUUGCUGGGCCGACACUGACGCUGAUAGCGCGAAAGCCAGGGGAGCAAACGGG